GCCAGAGAGGAUGGAUCAUUAGGGAGACUUGUAAAUGAUCAUGCAGUGAAUCCAAACAGCAAAAUGAAAGUUACAAGAGUGGAUGGAAGACCACAUCUCUGUUUAUUUGCACUCAAAGAUAUUGGUCCAGGGGAAGAAGUCACUUAUAAUUGUGGUGAUUCUGACUGGCCAUGGAGAAGCAAGAUCUCCAAAGAGAUGCCCUGUGGGCUGCUGAUGUGGCCGCAUGCAGAUCCCCUUCAGGCAACACACCAGAGCAUCUCUGGAAAGUGCUAGGAGAGCCAAAAAGCAUCCAUGGUCUCCCGUGGAGGUUACCGCGGUCAUGCAACAUUUUACCAAACAAAUCAAAAAAGGAAAACUGGCCACUAAGAUUGAAUGCCAGCAAUGCAAGAAGGCUGAAGAUCCUGCUCUGGCUGGUCGCUCUAUCUAAAACAUAAGAGAUUUUGUAAGGAAUCGGGGCAUAACUAUGAAAAGAAUACAAAAUCCUGGAUAGAAUAUGGGAAUGUAAUUAAUUGUCCAUCAGUGAUAUCAUCAGGACACAUGGGAUGUUAAGGGUUAGACCAGAAGUAAUCUCUGUGUUCUGAUGAUAUCACUGGUGGACAAUUUAAAUAUUUCAUCUUGUGGAGGCAGGAGGAGAGUUAAUGGUGUUCCAGUUAUAAUGGCAAACUGGCUGUUGAACAAACGUUUUACAGUGUGUAUUGUUUGGUGUGGAUUGGUUACUGUACUUUUCAUGCAAAAAGAUUCAGUUUUAUUUCUACUGUGAGACAAUGUUUAAGUUCAUCUUGUUCACUCAAUUUGUUUAAUCUGUGGGCUGAUUUAACACUAGACAUGCAUAAUUUCAUUUCACCAUUCAUACAUUUUUCUGUUUAUAAAUAGGAUUCUGUUCCUCUAAUACUUAGUGAAGGAGCUGUAAAAUGCAGUCCACUUCUUUUUGUUUAGUUAUAUUCCAUUUAUACAUGUUUGGCCUUUUUAAUACACAGAAAUUUCAUGUUUGUGUACGUGUAUGGCCGUGGUCCUGACAAAUAAA